ACUGCAGUUCUCUUCAUGAACAUAACCUCAGAACCGAAAGGCUUAUAGGUGGAAGAAACAUGUCUUGAGUCUCAGAUAAGACUUGCGGCUUUGGACUUUGAGUUCACACUGGAACCAAUUAAGACUUUGAGGAAGACUAUUAGGAAGGGAUGAUUGUAUUUUGCAUUGCGAGAAGGACAUGAGAUUCCAGAGCUCAUCACAAUGACUGGCAUAUGGUAAAUGAAUAUUAAUCCAAGGGGAGG
rnacentral:lncRNA from 10 species